AGAGUUUGAUCCUGGCUCAGAUUGAACGCUGGCGGAAUGCUUUACACAUGCAAGUCGAACGGCAGCACGGACUUCGGUCUGGUGGCGAGUGGCGAACGGGUGAGUAAUGCGUCGGAACGUAUCCAAUAAUGGGGGAUAACGCAGCGAAAGCUGUGCUAAUACCGCAUACGCCCUGAGGGGGAAAGCAGGGGAUCUUCGGACCUUGCGUUAAUGGAGCGGCCGACGUCUGAUUAGCUAGUUGGUGAGGUAAAGGCUCACCAAGGCGACGAUCAGUAGCUGGUCUGAGAGGAUGAUCAGCCACACUGGAACUGAGACACGGUCCAGACUCCUACGGGAGGCAGCAGUGGGGAAUUUUGGACAAUGGGCGCAAGCCUGAUCCAGCCAUUCCGCGUGAGUGAAGAAGGCCUUCGGGUUGUAAAGCUCUUUCGGCAGGGAAGAAACAGUUGAGGCUAAUAUCCUUGACCAAUGACGGUACCUGCAUAAGAAGCACCGGCUAACUACGUGCCAGCAGCCGCGGUAAUACGUAGGGUGCGAGCGUUAAUCGGAAUUACUGGGCGUAAAGCGUGCGCAGGCGGUUUUUCAAGUCUGAUGUGAAAGCCCCGGGCUUAACCUGGGAACUGCGUUGGAAACUGAAAGACUAGAGUGCGGCAGAGGGGGGUAGAAUUCCACGUGUAGCAGUGAAAUGCGUAGAUAUGUGGAGGAAUACCGAUGGCGAAGGCAGCCCCCUGGGUCGACACUGACGCUCAUGCACGAAAGCGUGGGUAGCAAACAGGAUUAGAUACCCUGGUAGUCG
rnacentral:rRNA from 1 species